rnacentral:rRNA from 1 species
GACGAACGCUGGCGGCGUGCUUAACACAUGCCAGUCGAACGAAGAGCGAUGGAAGCUUGCUUCUAUCAAUCUUAGUGGCGAACGGGUGAGUAACGCGUAAUCAACCUGCCCUUCAGAGGGGGACAACAGUUGGAAACGACUGCUAAUACCGCAUACGAUCUAAUCUCGGCAUCGAGGAUAGAUGAAAGGUGGCCUCUACAUGUAAGCUAUCACUGAAGGAGGGGAUUGCGUCUGAUUAGCUAGUUGGAGGGGUAACGGCCCACCAAGGCGAUGAUCAGUAGCCGGUCUGAGAGGAGGAACGGCCACAUUGGGACUGAGACACGGCCCAGACUCCUACGGGAGGCAGCAGUGGGGAAUCUUCCGCAAUGGACGAAAGUCGGACGGAGCAACGCCGCGUGAGUGAGGACGGCCUUCGGGUUGUAAAGCUCGGUUAAUCGGGACGAAAGGCCUUCUUGCGAAUAGUGAGAAGGAUUGACGGUACCGGAAUAGAAAGCCACGGCUAACUACGUG